UACAAUACAAGAGACAUAUCAUUACCAUAUGAUCUAAUGUGGGUGUCAGCCGGAUUGUGUUCAUUGAGGGAAACCUUAUUUUUUAACUGUGCUAUGGAGUAGAAGCAGGAGGUUUUCAACCUAGUGACAGUCACAGAGCAGCACCUACCCCCUCCUCCUUUCCACACCUGCAAACUCCUUUACUUGGGCUGAAUAUUUAGUGUAAUUACAUCUCAGCUUUGAGGGCUCCUGUGGCAAAUUCCCGGAUUAAAAGGUAUGGUUUUCAAUAAUUGUCCUGAACUCUGCUACAGACUAAUAAAACUUCGGUCAAGUUGAGAGCAAAAGGGAUUAUUUGGUGAGAAAAAGAAAAGGAAAAAAAAAACUGUUAAACUUUUAUAGUUUUUAUGCACCAUUUUAAACAAGUAUUAUUUGAAAACAGAAGUUAAAUAUUUGAUAAAAUGAUUGAAUGCAUUGUUUUAUUUCUUUCUCUUCUGUUUUUGCAAAGAUGCUUCUUAAAAAACUGUAACCUAACACCAUGACUCUCUAUAUUAAUGUUUUUAUGUUUGUAUUAAUGAAUGUUUAGCUCUUCAAGAGGUGGUAAGCGAAAAGUAUUCUAAAGUAGCAUAUCUGUAAUUGAGCUAUAUAUUUAAAAAUGUAUUUUUCUCCUGAAUUUUUGAUUGCUUUAAGAACUUUUAAAAGCCCAGAAGAACUGAGCUCUGGUGAUUAGCUGAAGAUACCUAAUGUAUAUUUCUUCAACGCCAGAAAUGAAUAGAAAUUAUCACCAGAAAAGUGAAAAUAAACAUUGAAAAUAUUUAUGUUAUUAAAUGCCUAAGAUAUUGAAAAAGCUGCAUAAUUUCUUAAAUGUAAAAUGUCCCAGUCAGUAUCUUCACUGCAAGUGAAAUUUUAAGAUACAUUCACUAUAAAAUGAGGAUGUGGGUUAAUUUUCUAAUUUUAAAACACGGUAACACAGUGACCACUGGUUAAGUGGGCUCCCAGUGAUGUAAAUACCUGUGGCUUUUUUUUUUCCUGUUGCUGUUUCUAACCAGAAAGGAGCCAAAUGCUUCCUAUAGUAACCCUUGUUUGUGGAUAAAUGCCGCCUUUAUUCUUUAUUUUAAAAUUACAUAUAUUAUCAUUGAAGUUUUUAAUCGUCUAGUGCUGUAGGAUUUUAAUUUUGAUUUGCAUUUAUAGCUUCACUUAUCUCUUGAGGGUUAAAUUUUGACUCUGAAAGUGACACCAGAGGCAUAGAUAACAUAAUGCAAAUGUUGAGCUGGAUGACAUAGUUCAUUUAAUGGGCUUAAGUAGUUUUAGGAACCAGAAAUUAUUAUUUUUGGUAAAACAUUUGUAAACUAUGGCAACUAGCUUCAGAGGAGUAGUGAUAUUACAUUAGUAAUUAGCAUCUUGGACAGUGUCAUGCAUUUUUAGACUACUUAAAACAGUUUCAGUAAAAUUUAAACAGCAUAUCAUCUCAAUAACAAUCUCUUUGGUUACUACUUGGACAGCUGCUCUUUGCUGUUUAUAUUUCUGAUUAAUUAAAGAAAGAAGGAAACGACUAAAGCAAUUAUCAGUAUUGACAGCCCACAUUAAAUGUUUUAAGAUGCUGAGUCUUGAAGUACCAUGACACUAAUUUAAAAUAGAUGAUUUUAUGGAAGAUUUUGCACAAAGUUUCUGGACAUGCAAUUAUAUUUCACAGUACAGUCAGGGUUAAAUGCACACACACACAUACACUCUCUCUCUGUCACACACACAUACACACACAUACACUCUCUCACGCACACACAUGCACACACACACACGAGCAAAUGAAAAUGAAAUAAAAAUCGGUGAUUGAAGUUAUAAGCUGCCUGUCUAUAUUCAGCUUCAAUCAAAAAGAAUAUUGUUUGGAGAAUUUGUACCAUUUUAAAAGGAGUAAACAAACAUAAAUUAUAAUCCUAUUUCUCUCAGCUAAUACUCAACAUUUUCUUUUUGUGGGUUGUUAGUGAAACAACCAGGCAUGUUCUGCUCUGGAGAAAAGAUUACAAAGCGACAUCUGCAUUAACUGUGGCUGCUAUUUAUUAAAUCUGCAAUUACUUUGCUUCAUUUUUCUUUUAAACUUGUAAGACAUUAAAUAUGCAAGGCUAGCAAGCUUGUGGUAAACCAUAAACAUUGCAUUUUUAAUGGGAAACAGAUACAAAACCACUCCCUUAGAUACAAUCCAAAGGAACAGGCUGCCAAAACAAGUCUUCUCUUAAAGGGAUACUCAGUAACUGAAUGGGAGUGGGCUGCUAGAAGAAGCUUAAUGUUGAAAUUAAAGUGGCAGUGUGAAUAAUAAUCUUUAUGAUAUUUUGUUAAAUGAAAAGCCGCAAGCCUGCAUUCAACAUGUGCUGCCUUAGACACAUAUCAGUAGUAAAUAUAAACUAAGAACAAACAUGUAAGAAACUGAAAAACAUUUGUUUCUUCUCUAGAGAAUCUAGGCAAAAAUUCCCAGAAGAUACCUUAAGGUUAGAACAUACAAAUAUCUUUCUUUUCUCUUCUCUUUUUUCUUUCUUUCUUUCUCUCUUUCUUUCUUUCACUUUCUUCCUUCUUUUCUUUCUUCCUUUCUUUCUUUUUCUUUCUUUCUUUCUAUCUUUCUUUCUUUCUUCUUCUUUUUUUUAAAUGUGCUACAAUUGGAUAAUGACUCAAAACAGCUCUAAGAUUCUACUUACGAACGUAGAGCUUUAAUAUGGAUUCGUCUAAGUGUACAAUUCAAGGUAGAGAUGAUGGGACUAAAUAUCUGCUAUGUUUUGGAGAUAUCAGAAUAGUUUCAAUGCAAUUUAAAAAAUAUUUCAUCUCCCAAAUGACUUUGUUGCUAUAUAAUCAAGUACCUUUUGUUAUUCAGAUUUAUUACGAUUUUGUCACUCAGAUUUAUUUAGUGCCCUUCAGUUGAUUUAACAACAUAGAUUCGUGCUUGUGGAAUGACUAGAUAAAUAUGGAAUACAUUUAUCAAAACAGUACUUGGUUUUUUACAAAAUGCCCCGUUAGCAAGAUGAGAUCACAUAUACAUCAUAUAAAAAUCAAUUAGAAUUUUCCAUAUGUGUUUAUUAGCUUAUUAAAAAUAAUGUUUGAGAAACUAGGAAAUUGAUUUAUUUUUUAAAGCUGAUCUUGCUUAUACCAAGUUGAGGUUUUCAAUCUGCUUUUUUUAUAUCAGAAAUUCGAUAUUGAAAAAAAGCUAAUUUUGUGUUUUAAAAAAUCAGACUGAUUGCUUGGAACAAAUGGAAUAAAUCGUCUUGUCAAUAAAGUGAUGGUCAAUUGAGUCAUUUGUGUGCAAAAUAUUGUGCAAGGCCCGGGUACAGGACAAGGAAUAAUAAGACACGCCCUGAAGGAGUACAUCGUCUAGUGAGGGACAGACCAAGCACGCAAAACAAAUUGCAAUAUAAUGUGAUAAGUUCUUUAAAAGAGGUAAGAGCAACGUGCUUUGGGAGCAGAGAAGAGGGAGAAAGCAGCAUCCUGCCUGGAUGAGCCAGGGGACACAGAAGAGAAGCCCACUAUCUCAUUUAAUCUUUACAACACUCUUGCAAGGUUCCCUGGUUGUGAAAAUACAUGAGAUAAAUCAUGAAGGCCACUAUUAUCCUCCUUCUGCUUGCGCAAGUUUCCUGGGCCGGACCGUUUCAACAGAGAGGCUUAUUUGACUUUAUGCUAGAAGAUGAGGCUUCUGGGAUAGGCCCAGAAGUUCCUGAUGACCGCGACUUUGAGCCCCCACUAGGCCCAGUGUGCCCCUUCCGCUGUCAAUGCCAUCUUCGAGUGGUCCAGUGUUCUGAUUUGGGUGAGUGGGAUGCAGUUUCUCUUUACCUACCUUACUUGUUUUAUUCUUGGGAAUGGCAACUCUGAGAGUUUAGCAUUUUCAGUUUUAAUCUCUCUAAAUGUGAGAGACAGUGCCACCUAAUGAGGAGCAAAGGAAGCAGAACAGGAUAGAAAGAAAAGUAGCAUUGUGGUUCUCUCUCUCUCUCUCUCUCUCCCCCUGUCUGUCCCUCUUCCUUUUUUCCUCCAUUACUUUGUAAUCUUGGACAAAUCAUUUUAAAAAAUAUUUCUGAGCUUCAUAUCCCUUCUUCUACAAAAUAAAAUUUUGAAGAAAAAGCCUUAUGUUCUAAAAUUUCAGAGUAAUGGUUUAAUUUUAAUUCUAUAAUGUGUUUUUAUAAAAUAUUAGAUAUUAAGAAAAUCAGGUCAGUCUCUCUGCUAUUCACUUAGCCCAGACAACAGAGUUUCAACAUUACUAAAUUGUAAAAUAUGCAGUUAUCAAAAGCAAAACACAUCAAAUUUUAUGACAAAAUCUUAUCUUUCAAGUAUCAAAGUACUCCCUUAAUCUCUGAGUCUUAGUUUUGUCUUUACUUUUGACAUUUUGUAAUCCAGCUACUUAUAUUCUUUAGAAAGUUUCAAAGGAAAUAUUUAUCACUAAGGUAUGGUGCAAAUAUUCAAUAUAAUUGUGUUACAUAUAUCUUUAGCCUAACACCCUAAAGACAAUUUGAUUUAUCAUCUUUUCAGAAAAAUUUGGUCUGGAAAUUCCAAGAGCAUUACACUUAGAAGAUAAAUCUCCAGAAAGAUUGAAGCUCAGUGGAUGGGCCAAAGGGGAAUGAACUCAGUUUACAUGGCAGCUGAUUCACAUUCCUCCUUUUGAAGGGGUGUAUUUUCUUAUUGGAGAUGAAAAGAAAAAAAAAAAGUCUUUGUAUCAUGAUUCCGCCAUGUGUGCUUCCUUCUGGAGGAAAUCCCAUACUAUGAUCAGGCACUCCUGUCAGAAGUCCUAUAUUUACUCAGAACAUGCUUUCUAGCAGUAGUUCGCAGAAGAAAAAUGCAACUUCUACAAUUGGAAUAAACUACCUAUAGGAACCCAGAAAAAACAUAAAGUAUAUUCAGUAGUAACAACUGAAAAACACUUGAAAUAGCUUGUUCAACACAUAUAUUGUAUAGCCAUUUAAAACCCAAAUACAAAUGUUAUAUAAAGGCUUUCAAAAGGCCACAGGAUAAUUCCAAUUGAUCCAUUUGUUCACUCAUUCAGAAGCUAUAUUGGGAACCCAUCAUGGAUGAGCUCUGCUCUAGGCGUGGGGAGGAAAGGAUGAGGAAGACAAAUAUGGCCCUAGUUCUUGUGGAUCUUAUGUUCUAGUGGUGGUGACUAUUACUUUUUGAAUCGUGUAUUUGCCACAGGGGAGAUUGGAUUACUCUUCAGAAAUUUUAUAAGCAUCUAGAGAUGACCUGCAUUAUUGCCUUGGGCAGGAAAAUAACAGGGUUGAAAAAAAUCUGAACAAAGAAAUCACCAUUUGAUGGAUAUACACAGGAUAAUCUUUUCUGAAGUUACUAAAAUGGCGAUGUUCCCAAAAAAUGUGAUGCGAGUUAAAUUUCACUUUGCCUCUGAGAAAAAGUUAAAAGAAUUUAUUAUUACUCUCGCUACAUAUAUUAUCAAAAAUGAAGGGUUGAUAUUUUUAAGGAAAGAAGAGUUGGCCAGUCACUUUAGUGAAGUUUUAUUUUUUCGUAAAUAUAGUUUGCCUUUGCUUCCAUGAAAAAAUAGCUCAUAAACCUUGACCCUGAUGAAAGCAUUGGGCCAGUUUUCCAAUUCUCUGUUAUGUAAAAAGGCAUAAGUCAAUUGUUCAAAGCGAAACAACAACAACAAAAUGUAGUCUUAGGAAGCAGCAAGUUCACAGACUUGGGAUCUUUAUGAUAGUUUUGUUGUUGCCAUUGCUAUUGUUUUGUUUAUUUUGUUUUGUUUUCAGAUGAGAAAGUUUUCUACAUGUUAUCUUUUUUCUAGGAGCUCAAAGUGUACAUCAUUCCUUUAUUAUAGCUAGGUUUACUGACUCAUAUACUAAGGAAGUAGCUAAAAUUAUAAAAAUAAUUUGUUUUUAAAACCAUAUUUAACUAAGAGAACUAAGUUCCAAUGAGCAGUGGUCUCAUGCAAGGUAUUUUCAAUAUUUUAAAAUUUACAGAUGAAUAUUUAAAUAUAUUAUAAAAGUUUUAAUCAGAUAUCUCUAAGAAAAUACAUUUCUUAAAGGGAAAUGAAAUUCACUUGACUUUAAAUAAAACAAAUGAACUCAUUUCAUGUUUUUAACUAUUAUCUAACUCUUCCUUACUUUAUGAUGCUGGCAAGCUGUUGGGAGCCUUGACAUCUCCAUCUGCAGAAAAAUCACAGUCUUAGAAAUCCUAUUAAUUGUGUGAGAUACCUGGGUCAUAGUAGCAGCUUCAUGCAGUUUUAAAAUUAUAUGAUGAUUAUAUGCAGUAACAGAUGAAGAAAAAAAGAAAGAAAGCAGGAGAAAUGGACCACCUCAUUCAUUGUAAAUGCAAUAUAGUUGAUUUUUUAAUUUGUUUUAUGUCCUCUAGUGAUCUAAGCAUGAAGCUUGAAUUAUUAUAAUAAAGAAAAUAAAUGCAAUGCAGUUGGGGAUGGCAAAUGUUAAUGCUUAUCUAUAUCAAAGACUAACACUGUCUUCAGGAUUAUCCUUGGUGGAUAAUCCUCUGCAGACACUUAAUGAGCAGAGAGAAGCUACAGUGUUGAAGGACAAAAGUCCUUUGUCAUCUUAUUAUUGAAAUAAUGUUUAAUACAAAUAAACUUUUUAAAUUAAAAUGUUUGACUACUUUUUACCACUAAGAAAUAUUCUUGGCAAAGUUAAACAACAUCAAAAUUUUAAACAAUUCUUUCAAAGCUACGAAAUAAAAACCUAUGAAAUUAAAAUUAUGUAAUUACUCUGCAGGGUAAUUUGAUGCCUCUGGAAAAAUGCAUGGAUUGUUUUAGUCCCUAAUUCUAAUUUAUCACAGUAGUAUUAACAUGUGCUUUUUUUUUUUUUUUUUUUUUUUUUUAGAGGAUGAGGGAUUGAGACAGUAAACAUGAAUUCCUCAUAGAUAUUGGCCAAGUUGUUUCAUUGAACUUGUUGCAGCUCACCUUGUAAUUGGAACCACAAUUUUAUGAGACCCAUAUCUUGUCUUCUUUUAUCUAUUAUGUUAAGAAAUAAACCAGUUCCCUCUCAAUUAUAGCAUUUAUUUCAAAAGCAAUAUUAAAAAUAAAUGUAGAGUUAGCAAAUUCAGAAGUCUUUCAGUUACUUUAUAAUAACAAAUCCACAAUGUAACUCAUUCUUCUAAAAAUCAAAAAAAUUUAAAAUGUUCUGAUUUUGAUUGGAUUUUCUAUUUUAUAUGUUUGGCAUCCUGAAGGAAGAGAGUUUCCCUUACUUAGAUACUCUUUGGCUCAGCCAUUCAUCUUUGGAUCAAGUGUCACCAGGUAGUAUAAUUUGGUAUGGACUUAACACCUCAUUAUUGAAAUGCAAAUCAGUCCUGACAAGUCAAAUAAGAACAAGUAUUGUCUUUUGACUAGUUUCCAAAAUUAAAAUAAUAAUUCUUGAUGUAUUUCUUAUAAACAAAUUUCAGAAGAGUUAAAAUGUAACCUUGAAACUUUCAAAACUUUGUUUUGUCAUUUGAUAAAUGGAAAUAUAUCUUAUUUCACUGGGUAAGAAUAGAAAAAUAUAUGUACAAAUGCUUAUUAUAGUAAUUCACAUUUCACUUACCAUUUCAGGCAAAGUUGGCUAAGAACAUGAGGCUGUUUCUGAUAUUUCCUUUUAUUUUUAUGUAUUAAUGAGAAUAAUAGGUAUAGGCCGUAUACUUAUUAGAGACUCUCAAUGACUUAUACUUAUUAUUCUCAAUUCAAAUUGUAUCAUACUCAUUGAAAACAAGCCAUAUACUUAUUAGAGACUUAUUUAGAUUCUUAUUAGAGACUUAUUAAGAGUCUCUAAUAAGUAUAAGGGUUGUCAAGCUAGAGACAAAAUAGUACCAUCUCUCUCCACCUCUCUAAAGAGGACCACAUCGUCUCCAAAUGUAAAUAGACAAGAAUAAAAAAAUUUGUGCAUUUGCUAAGCAAUUGAAUGUUCUCCAAACCAAUAUUCCUUUGAACAAAAUGAGUUUGUUUGAUUUGAGAACAAUGAAGCAUUUGGCUAUUUUAUAAUCAUAAAUGAUUCAUACCCCCACACACUUAGCCCUCUAGAAAUGGUGCCAGAAGAUGAAACACAUUUAAUUUUGCCAUAUAGAAGCAUUACAAACAACUACUGGUUUCUAAUAAUGUACCUUAUAAUGCAAAUAACGUUUUAAUUUUUAAAAAUCUCAGAAAAAGUACAACCUUUUAAAUUGUAUAGUUGCUUCUUCUUCAUAAUCAUUUUUCUUGAACUGGUGAAAAAUUUUGUCAGAGGUUACCACUUGGGACAUAUUGUACUACAGCUUCUCGCUUGGCUGGGGAAACUGGUUUUCCAGAAGCAGACCUUAUACAAGAGGUAAAUGAACCAUUAGACUUCUCCCAUGAAAUCAGCCCAGAAAAAUAAAUUAGGACUAUUUUGUAGAGGAACAGGCAGAAUGCUAGAGGCUCAGUUGCCUUUAUCGUUUAUGUCUGGCUCUGCAGCAGCAGGGGUGUGAGGUGUUCCUCAUUCAGAGUUUCGAAUGCACCAAAAGGGUGUUUCCAAAACAUGAUAUGGGAAGGAGGCUGUGCACAGAGUAUGCCCACUGGAUUGCCUAAAUUGACAUUGGGUAGGAGUGGAGUAUGGGUGAUCUUCAGAUGAAGCAAGAGUAAUGCUCAAUGUGACCUGGUUAAAAAAGUCUCCCGAAUCAAGGGGUUAAAGAUGGAGAGGAGGAAGAGAGGGAGUCAAGAAGGCCAAAGGAAGCGUCUGUCUCCUUGACCUGAAUGACAACUAACAUAGCCCUGGUUUCCUUCUCGGUCCCCAGGAGGGAGAGAGAGGCAGCUGUGUGGGAUCAAGGCAUUUUGUGAGACUGCAGCGGUGAUUCAUUUUCCUUUGGAAGAACAUCCCUAGCUCCAGGGGACAUGGUGGGAAUUGGUUAGCUAAAAUAUCAAUUCCCUGGGUAAAAGAAGAAAACCAUGAGACCCUCUAAUCUUAAUUUUUCUCCUUCAAAAGAGUGGAAAAAGAUUACAUAGUUCCUCAAAAAUAAAAAAAAAUGAGUCUGCAAUUCAGUCUUAAUAAAAAGAGAAAGCCCUUAGCAUAUAUACUGUAACACUCAAGACUCAGUUACUCUUGACUUAGUCUGUGGACUGCUUUAACUUCUCUGUAGCUUGCCUACUUCUGCCUUUUUUACUGUAAUCUACAUUUGCUUUGAUUAUUCUAUAAUAAUCAAUUAUAUAUACAUAUCUGUGAUUAUACAAUAUCUUUUAUCUUUUUAUAUAUCUGUUUUAUUUUUUUCUUCACUAGAAAAGAAGUAUUGCAAUAAUUUAUCUUUGUACAACCUCUACACAACAAACUGCCUUAUACUUUGUAGACUCUUUAAACAUCACUCAAUGAUUGAUGAAUGAAUACACGAACAUAUGCAUGGCUUGGUUCUUGAAUUAAUGCUUGGAUUAAUAUUCUACAAUAUUCUUGACUCUAGCAAGCUGCAAAGAGAAGGGAACACGUCUGAUUGAGAAACAGAAGUGAUUUCUCAGUGCAUCCUUGCUCCUUCUCUUUAAGGACAACUGUAAAACCAGGAAGCUUAGAAAUUCCUUGAGUUUGACUGGAAAGAGAAUAGAAUUAAAGAGAAGAAUCGUCUAUGUCUGAAGCCUGGUCUAACUCAUAACACAGUCAGAUUGCCAUUUUUAAGAUGGAAAAAGGGAAACAUGCCUGCCUUGAGCAGAAAAGAUUUUGGUGGGGCUGGAGCUCCUAAAUAUUAUUUUGGUCAUUUGCCCAAAAACUGAAGUACACCACCAAUGUCCCAAUUAUGAAGUUGAAUACAGAAUUAUAAAAAAAAAUUGUUGAAAGUCAAUAAGAAUAAAUCUUAGAAUUUGGACUCUUGCCACAUGGCAGAAAAAAGCAAAAUGUUUUAAGACGACCUGGCCUUUGUCCAACAUGAUGUUUACCAGAUUGCUGACAUUUGCUAGCAGAACAAUGCUAUUCAUCAGUGGGACAACCAAAAGAAGGGAAGAAAAAAAAAAGAAGUCUAUUUCUUACUAGUUUUUAUUCAGAAAUGAUUUUUUGGUAAUGUCUUAAGUAGUAUCUUAUUUGCUUUAAUAAAUAACUAGAUUUUAAAGAAGAUAAAACUCCUUACAAAAACUGGGAGAGCAAAUAUCUAAUCCAGGCUACCUUGAAAAUAGUGUGUUUUAGUGGAAAAUUUAGAAUUAUGUUAAAUAAAGGCUGCUCAAUGAAAAAUAAUUGUAGGAAACCACUAUGCUCCUGUUACUACAGCUGAAUGAAUUUUACCCCAAAACAUGGUGGCUUAAAAAAAAAUUUAAUUUGCUCAUGACUUGAGGUAUGGAAAAUUUGGGAAGGGCUCUGAAGGGCUGUUCUCACUUGGGGUGACUCUUGCAUUUGUAGUCAAAUGUUACCCGAGAUUUAUAGUCAUAAGAAGGCUAGCCUGGGCUGGACACCUGUUCACUCUCAUAACUGACAGUUGCUGCCGCUGUCGCCCACAAGCUUGGCUGUUCUAUCUCUGGAUUGCCUCAGACAGCCUCUCUUUUUUUCUAUGGCCCCUGGCUGUCCCAGAGCGAGCAUCCCAGAAGAAGUGGGUAGCAGCUAUACAAUCUUUUCUGACUUAGUCUCAAAUGUUAUGGUGUUUCAGUCUAUUGAUUCCUAGAGGCAUCACAAGGCCAUCCUGAAUUCAAAGGGAAGAGAGAGGAAUUAGAUGCUACCUCCUAAUGGUAUUGGAACAAAUGAGUAUUGUAGAAGAUCAUGCAUGAUAGAAAAUUUAAUGUAUGCCAUCUUUGAAAAAUAUAAUCAUCUGCAUAUUUACUUAGAUUUAUAUACAUUUCUAAUGAGAAGUUUGGGCAUAAUUAUGUAUUAUGUAGAGAAAGCCCACAGAUAUUACAUGUCCCCCAUGAAGGUCAUUAUUUAAUGAUUACAAACUACAUUAAGAUGUUAAAUAAUUAUAAUUAAAUUAAUUUACAAAUUAACUUCAUAGUUACUUAAUUCUUCUACUUAAGAUUGUAAGAAAAGUAUUAAGUCACAUCUUGAUGACUUUGUUUUCAUUAUGGAACAUUUUUUGGACGUAAAUUGAACCUGGCUAAUUGAUACAUAUAAUUUAAAAUGCUAACAUUUUACUUUCUAUAUCAUUUUAUGAAUAACCAUAAAAUUCAUCAGUAUCAAUAGGAAUUAUUUAGUUAAAAAUCACAUACAAUUAAUACAAUCAGAUAUGCUUAAAGGCAGAAUUUAAAUUUGUUUAUUUAAAAGUUUAAAAAAUUAAGGUAGGAUAACUUUCAUAGAAUACUAUCUGUUUUUAUAUUUUUUGAAGAUUAGGUUUAGUUCAAAUAAGCAUUUUUUAAUUAUCAAAAAUAAUCUCUAGUCCUAGUGUAUUUCUACCACAAUUUACUUCCGGCUUGGUGUUUUCAGAUGAGGAAAUGGAGCCUGAGGAAUGCUAACUUACAGAUUCCGGUCAUCUCUCCUUAAUAGCCGAGUUGAUUUUAACCCAAGCCAUUCUGACUCUAAUGAUGUACAAACAAAGAGUAAUAUUUUAUAGAUUUGCAAAGGAGUGUAGCAUUUGCUACCAUUAAAGUAGGGUUAAAUUGACCAGGAGCAGUUUUUGAGGAGUCUAAUUACUCAUUGGGGAUCAUGUGCUUCCUAAACUUAAGGCUUAUCCAAAGGCCCUGAACUUGGUAGACAAGCACUCCAAAGGCCCUGAACUUGGUAGACAAGCACUCCAAAGGCCCUGAACUUGGUAGACAAGCACUCCAAAGGCCCUGAACUUCAUGGGAACAAUGAUGAAUGCAGAAAGACCAGGAAAUAACUGUCAAGAAAAAAACAUUUCAGGACCAAGCUCUUUAGAUGAACACCUUGUGUUUGACACACCUGAAAAACAGAUUUCAGCCUCUAGGAUAAUACGCAUAGUAACUGUACAGAAAAGAAAGUUACAGAUGAAUAAUCAGAAAGAUUAUUCAGAAAGAUAAUGAGAGCAACACCCUCUAUUUUGCUUAUUAAUAAUAAUCAUAGGUAGCAAUACUUGAGACGCUGCUAUGCACUAUGGUAGGAGAUUAUUUUGUAGCAUGGCUUAUUGAAUUCUCACAAAAAUUCUGUGAAAGACUUAAGAAAACUGAGGACAGAGGGUUUAAACAAUAUGUCUUCUAAUUUUUUUUCUUUUUUUGUUUUUAGACAGAGUCUUGCUCUGUCACCCAGGCUGGAGUGCAGUGGCGCGAUUUCGGCUCACUGCAAGCUCCGCCUCCCGGGUUCACGCCGUUCUCCUGCCUCAGCCUCCUGAGUAGCUGGGACUACAGGCCACCCGCCACCACGCCCGGCUAAUUUGUUGUAUUUUUUAGUAGAGAUGGGGUUUCACCGUGUUAGCCAGGAUCGUCUCGAUCUCCUGACCUCGUGAUCCAUCUGCCUCGGCUUCCCAAAGUGCUGGGAUUACAGGCGUUAGUCACCGCGCCCGGCCUCAAUAUGUCUUCUAAUCUUAAAGAUAAAGAAGAGGAACCAGAAUUGAAAUUCACAUAACAGUCUUAUUAAAAAAUGUUAUUAUAGGAGCAUGUUUAAAUAUGAAAAUUCUACAGAAUAAAAUGACCCCAUUGUGUACCCACUACAGAGCUUCAACCAAUGCCAACUAAUGCCAUUAUUUUUCUAUCUCCACCCACUUCCAUAUCAUUUUGAAGCAAAUUCCAGAUAUAUGAUUUUGUCUAACAAUACACAUAUCAGUAUGUUUCUCUGAAAAAUAAAGCUCUCAAAUAAAAUAGCCAUAAUUUAUAGCUUAUUUAUAUGAGUCAGGAUCCAGAUGAAGUACAUACAUCGCUUUUUUAAAAAUAGCUCUUUUUUUUUGGUAUUUUUUUUUUAUAUACAGGGUCUCACCCUGUUGCCUAGGCUGGAGUGCAGUGGCACGAUCACAGCUCACUGUAGCCUCAACCUCCCCAGGCUCAGGGGAUCCUCCCUCCCGAGUAGAUGGGAAUACAGGCUUGUGCCACUAUGCUCAGCUAAUUUUUUGUAAAGAUGGGGUCUUGCUAUGUUACCCAGGCUGGUCUUGAACUAAGCGGCUCAAGCAAUCCACCUGCCUGAGCUUCCCAAAGUUCUGGAAUUAGAGGCAAGAGCCACAGCACCCAGCUAAAACAUCUCUUAACUCUCCUUUACACUACAGAUUAACAAUUUCUUCAUUUUCUUUUGGAAUUUAGAGGAUUAAUCAGAUUCAGGAUUAAUUGUUUGUUUUUGAAAAUGCAAAUCUAUGAACAGGGAUUUGUUUCUUGAUUUAGAAGCUUCUAAUUGAUCCUUUCCCAGGAGAAAUAUAUGCCAUGUAGAGAAACUCUUACUGCUGGAGUAGUCACUCUGUAAGACAGAAAAAUCAGUCUUCUUGAGAUAUGUAUGUGACAAAAGGUGCUUCACAAAUAUGGCAAAGAUACUGAAGAAAGUGAGAGCAAUUUUCAGGUGCAGAUAAUGGGAAUGACAUAUUUGAUAAUUGCUAAAAACCUCAUAAUAGAGUCUACCUAAUCAGCAUUUGGGAACCAUAGACUAGCUGAUAUUUAAGGGCCCUUCCCUUUGUGGCAUUCAGAGAACUCAUAAUAACUAGGGUAAAUUCUCCAUUAUACGCCGUCUCUUGUCUUUGAGCAAGCUAGUUAACACUCUAAUGCCUUAUUUACCCCUUACAGGUACAGCGUAUUACUGGGUCUGAUGUCAGAACAAUUAUUUCAGGGGAUACAGAUAGGUAUGCCAGAAAAAAAAGUCAUGCUGGAAGCCAGGAGAGUUGUCAUCUAAUCCACAUUUUGUCAUUCCUAACUAGAUAAGCUUGUUCAUGUUAUGAAACUUUUUAAAAGAAUUGAAAGCAUGAGAUUACCAUACUGUCUUACCUAUCUCAUUGGGUUAUUGUAAGGCAAAUAAUGACAUAUUUUCAUUUUUAAAAAUAAACUCUAAAACUAAAUUAUUAAUAAAAAAUACUAAUAUGUGAAAUCCCCCCAAUAAACAUAAAUUUACUAAUUCAGAGCAGGUUGUAGAAUUAUAAUUUUAAUCAUUGAAAUGGCUCUCCAAGAACUAAACUACAAGAAUUAGAAUCCUGAGGAUGGUAUUCCUUUUUUCUGAAUCUCUAGAAAUGAGAUGUAUAUAAAUUACUUUAAGUAGUUCCUAGUGUUAUAAAAUUUUAGGUUGACAACAUAAUCGACAGUUUCAGCCAUCCAGACACAUCAUUCUUUCCAUAUACAUUUGAAAUGUUAUCUGCAGUUUCACAUUGACAAAAUGUUGAGAGUCACUAGAAUUUAAGUUCACCAAUGAAUAAAAGUAAGCAUAAAUGGAAAUUAGGACUUUGAUGAAGGUGCCCAAGAAGGAACGAUAAAAUGUAGUAACUACGUUCCAAAUGAAAAGAAGUUUGUCUUUUCUGGGUUGGAGAACAUCAAUUAUCAAAGAUUUGGCAGAAGUCUACUAUUGCUAAUUGCAUGAAAUUAGCAAAUUGACAUUUCUGAAAAUGACAGUGAUUACAACUGUACAGUAUCAUUAAACAACCUCCUACAAGGUAGCUGUUCUAGUAUUUUACUGUUCAUCACUGAAAACACUUAACUCUUGUUAUUUCUAUGGGAACUGUGUCUAUAAGAGUUAUACAUUUAUGUAACAUAUUUAUGUAAGUUCAGAAUUACUUGUAUUUUGAUACUUAAACUUGUAAAGAUAAGUGGUCACUGAAUUAAGAACAAGAUUCCACCUGCGACCCCAACUAUUAUUGGAGCAGUGAUAUUAUAAAUAAAAAAUUGUUUGGAAAAGACUCAGAAAUAGGUAGCUUCAGGUACGUUUUCUGUAACUUUCAUGGAAGAAAUGAAGACGGUCAAAGUAUGGCUACCAUGGUGGUUUACAAGUAUGUUUACAUAAAUCUCAAAAUUGAAAAGUGAUUCUCUCGACAUAGCAGUUAUUAUACCCUGUUGUAAUUUUAUUUUAAUUGAAAACAGUAAACUGAAUUAUAUUUUUAUGAAGUCAUGGGCAAUAUCUGCCUUGGUCCUGCUAUAUUCCCAGGAUCUAAUAAAUUCAUGGUGCCCAGGAGGUAUUCAAUAAAGGCUUGUUGAAUUUAUGAAAAAAUAAUCUUCAGUACUUCAAGUUUCAGAUAUGAUGGAGAGAUUGCUUCUACCAAAGGCUAAAAAAAUUUCUGAUUUGUGUUAUGCAGUCUUAAAAUACAGAAAUGAUCACAUUAAUUUGAGUUAAUAGAAUAUCAAAUUUUUACUUAAUGUCCUACUUCAAUAUGAAACAAUGAAAAAAAGAAAGGCAAAAGGCCUUAUUUAAUAUUUUUCUUUAUUAUGAUUCACGAUGAUUUAUUCAAAAUAACUGCCUUUUGUAUAAUUCUGGUUCAUCCUUAUAUGACUAGCUGAAUGACUAUUAAAAUAUUUUUUAAUACCAUGGACCAUUUGGUAAUUCAAUGAAUUUACAUUUACAAACUAAAAACAAUAAUUCAGUCAGUUAGACCAAACUCUAAAGUCCAAAAGUAAUGCUUCAUAAAAUCAAUUUCAGAUAUGUCAUACUACCAAAUUUAUUUCAUUCUAACUAGCCAUAUAUCUAUUGGUCAUAAAAUAUCAACUGAAAUGAAUAUUGUUUUGGCAUUCCAAUGAAAACUAAAAGAACCGUUAUCCCAAAUUGUUGGAUAAAUUUUCAAGAUCCUGCCACAAGUUGAUUAUAUGUUUAUAUGAUUUUAACUGUAGAUCUGUGACAGGGUUAGGUUUAUCAAAAAGCUCUUUACUACUGAUGAUUUGGCUAGAGUAAUUAUUGACACAGUAUUUAUGUAAAAAUGUAUAGAUUUGCAAAUCACUCAUGCUGACUACUUAUCAAAAUAAUUACUUUUCAAUACAACAACAAAGAGGUAAAACAUAUAGAUUUGAGCCACACCCUAAUGCAACACAAAUGUUCGCCUAAUGCAAAGGAAUAAUUCUAUGAGGAAAAUAUCAUGUUGAGUUUAUUAUUAAACAGAAAAAGUCAUUUGACUUGGUUGCAAAAGAUAAAGCAAAAAUUUUACCCUACAAUGAAUGUAAUUCUUAGAAGAAGAAAAAUAUGUUGUUACUGUUAAAAUGAUCAUCAUAACAUUAAUUUCUUGGUAAAUAUACGCUGUGUGAUUCUGUAGCCACAUGUCCUUUCUACUCACCGCACACUCCUAUUACUCUUAUGCUAGGUCUGGACAAAGUGCCAAAGGAUCUUCCCCCUGACACAACUCUGCUGGACCUGCAAAACAACAAAA